GAGUUUGAGAAAAAAAGGAGUUUGGCUGUUGCCUAAAAAGGCUCAUAGGAAGGAGAAGACAGAACUUCUCUCGCUGAUGGUUUCCCUGGGAGACCAUGAAGCCUGGCUGAAGGAAAGGUUUUCCACUUUGGAAGAUUCUGUGCAGCCUCAGAAACCUCUCCGUGCACUGCAGUCUGGGCUGCGUGAGGCUGUGGCUGUGUGCCCCGGGAAGAAGAGAAAAUCAGGGCAGGAAGAAACUGAAGACAGAAAGAAGGCUGAUUUUUCAAAAGCAUCCCAGAAGAUGAAUACUUCGACGUCCAAUUGUCCUUGGGAAGGAGUCUCCGCUUAUUAUACGAUACUGAAGAUGGAGGACCACUGACGCCAUCCAUGCAUAUCCUGAGUCAUUCAGAGAUGAGCCAAACUGAUUUCACACACUCACUGUGUAGCUGAAGGACUAGUUAUGUUGCUGGGGCACCCAGAAACUCAACCAUGCCUGCACAGAAAACAAAAGUGACACCUGCCUCACUCUCCUUUACACACUGCAAGCCAAGAAGAAGUGCCAAGAUGGCAAAGCUGGGAAAGAAAGCCCCAUCCCGAUGAUACUGCCCACCAGCUCAUUACACAAGCAGCCAAGAAGCGAAGACAGAUAAGAAGGAACUUGAAAGGCACAAGCAGGACUUUUCUACACAGAUCCUGUGGUUUCGAGGCUGGACAUUUAGCGAGAUGUGUCAAAUGCAGCAGGAUGACGUAUUCCUGCAUGUUUCCCGAGAGGCAGCGCUGUAUAGUCACGAAGAGGACGGCACCAUGGAUCAGACGAGCUGGCUGUGGUCUGAGUAAGCAGGGCUGACUCAGCACUGAUAGGACUCAGCACAGAGGCAGCUGCUUCUGCAUGACACAGCAUGUGUGUCAGGACUGACACAGCAUCAGCAUCUUUCUCGUGUUGCACGUUACCAUGCCCUUCCGAAAGACUGUCAUGAAAGAAGCUUGGUCUCCAUCUGGAGUGACACCAGCGAAGUUACCAAACCUUACUUUUGCUUCUUUAUAGCCACAGAUGGGAAUAGUUAUCCUGAAAGACCCUUCGCUGAUUAACUGCGCCAGCCUUUCUUUUUGUGCAGGGUUGGAGAGAGAAGAUGUUAUUAGAACAUGCCACCCGGGAGCUGUGUCUCAGAACUGAGGGAGUGUGGGGGCUUAGUUUCUUGGGAGCGCCCGAGUGCAGAGACCGUAUGGUGUAAACACACAGCACACAGCACACACAGCAGUCACUGUCUGUUGAGAACAUCAGCGGACCCGAGUUGAAACAACCUAUGCUCAGGACUCUGCCGAGGGCUCCCUGCAUAGAAGAGAUGGUUCUUCAGAGAUAAUUCUCUCCGUGCUUCGAUCCGUGACCGAGACGGGCCGGUAAGAAGCUGCGAUAAAAUAUCUCGACAUCUGGUAGGUUUUUUCUCCAGCCAGCUCACAGGAGCCUUCCUGGGAAGUCUGGAAGCACUGCCAGUAGAACCCAAUCUAAUUCAAUCACUGCUCCACCCACCUGAAAAUCAUCUGUGAGAUGAAUGUACAGAGUGCG